CCCCAGAUGAUUCCUGUGUGCACCCAUUUGGGAGCUGUGGGGAUAAGGGUCAGCUUUGCGGAGUGUUGCCAAAAAUGCUUUUCAAAUCGGUCGUGUUCAUCUCUCCAACUCUGGCAGCAGUGGAACUUCCAAAACUAUAUUGAAGAAUAGUGGCAAGAUUGGACAUCAUUGUGUUGUUCCUGAUCUUAAGAGAAAAUGCUUUCAGUUUUUCAUCAUUGUGAAUGAUGUUCGAGUCUACGGCCAUUCCACCCUGAAUGUGCCUGAUCGCGGAAGCAAAGCAGCGUCUUGGAUGUCCAAGUACUUGGAUGGGUGACCACCUGGGAAUACUUGUUGUGGGGAUGAAGUAGGAUGCUAAAUCACCCGCUGCUGCUGCUAAGUUGCUUCAGUCGUGUCCGACUCUGUGCGACCCCAAAGAUGGCAGCCCACCAGGCUCCGCCAGCCUUGGGAUGCUCCAGGCAAGAACACUGGAGUGGGUUGCCAUUGCCUUCUCCGUAAAUGACCAGCAGGCUUCUAGAAAGGAAAUAAUGCAUGAAGAUCAAGUAUUUGUAUGAAGUAUUUACAGAUAACAGUUAGUGGGAAAAUAUCUCAAACUCAUCAUAUUUACAGUAUGCAUAUCUUAUAUAAAGAACAUCUUAUGGUUCCUUCUGAUAACUUUCCUGAA